UUCUUGGUCCAUUUAGAGGAAGUAAAAGUCGUAACAAGGUCUCCGUUGGUGAACCAGCGGAGGGAUCAUUACUGAGUUUACGCUCUACAACCCUUUGUGAACAUACCUAUAACUGUUGCUUCGGCGGGUAGGGUCUCCGUGACCCUCCCGGCCUCCCGCCCCCGGGCGGGUCGGCGCCCGCCGGAGGAUAACCAAACUCUGAUUUAACGACGUUUCUUCUGAGUGGUACAAGCAAAUAAUCAAAACUUUUAACAACGGAUCUCUUGGUUCUGGCAUCGAUGAAGAACGCAGCGAAAUGCGAUAAGUAAUGUGAAUUGCAGAAUUCAGUGAAUCAUCGAAUCUUUGAACGCACAUUGCGCCCGCCAGCAUUCUGGCGGGCAUGCCUGUUCGAGCGUCAUUUCAACCCUCAAGCUCUGCUUGGUGUUGGGGCCCUACAGCUGAUGUAGGCCCUCAAAGGUAGUGGCGGACCCUCCCGGAGCCUCCUUUGCGUAGUAACUUUACGUCUCGCACUGGGAUCCGGAGGGACUCUUGCCGUAAAACCCCCCAAUUUUCCAAAGGUUGACCUCGGAUCMGGUAGGAAUACCCGCUGAACUUAAGCAUAUCAAUAAGGCGGAGGAA
rnacentral:rRNA from 1 species